AAAGAAAUGCAUUUCUUUACAAAUGCAUCUUUCUUUACAGAGAGCUCCACCAUACGUAAAUGGAUUGUGGAAUGGUGGUGGAUGAGGAGAUAGCCCCUGACGAUGUAAAGCGCUUUGAGUACUUAGAAAAGCUCUAUAUAAAUAUUGGUACCAAAAAUACUGAAUUUUGUGGAGGAGGUUGUCCCGCUAUACAGUCCCUCAGAAUUUCAAAGUCAUUUCAGGCUUUCCAAACAACAGGUGGAGCUCCUCCACAAUUGUUCCCAAGCUGGUCAACAUCUUUUUUUCAAAGGAUCGUCUGCACCUCUCUUUUAGUCACUGCCAUCUCUCCCGGUCAGGCCUCCCAAGGGACUCAAGCACAGCUGUCCUUCUCUGUGCGUGUGCUUCGUAUGUCUCUAAAAAUUGUAAGGGUUGUGAUGGUCUCUGCCUGUUGGAGAGGCUUGUACUGGCAGAGGUCCCCGGCUGCUUGUCCACAGAAGCACCUGCUGCCUGAGCUUGAGGAAGAGAAAUCGUUGGAGGCCUGUUUUGAGAAGGUGGAUCUUCCAAACACAGAGGAGUGGAGCAGAAUUGUUCCAGGUGGUGCAGUUCCUAUCCCAGAGAACCCAAAUAACUCAUCCAUUAACUGUAGAAAAAACAUGUCAAUAUAUAAUAAUAGUGAUAUUUUAAUCUAAGACAUAACAUGUUUCUUUAUUCGGAUGCUUAAAGAAAUACAGUGCAAUUUUAAACUUACUGUCUAGUACUCCCAGGUUUGCUUCCCCACCCCAUUUGCUAGGCGGCAGUCCUUAACUCUCUUGUAAGUUGUUAACAUGUUUGCUAGUUUUUUUCUAAUUUUCUCAUAUGACAAGGUGUACCCUUUUUGUGAAAAUGCAGUUUGUAGCUUUUUAUAGAAAGCAGUUUUGUUGUGGAAGUAGAGUUGCUGAUAAGUUCUUGUUAGUAACGUCAUUUUGUGUGUGAUUUCUGUAAAAAAAAAAUAAAGGCAUUACAACCACUGGAAAAAAAUAUUUUUUUUUAUCCAUGUUAUAGUCUUAGAUGCAAUACCCUGUGAUUCAUGGCUGUCUGACUGGAUGGAGGAUGGCGUUCUGGCUUCUGAAGGGUUUCCACACUCUGCACCAGUUUGCAACGUGGUAGACGGUAGGUUCUUGCCAAUGGGGGUAAGUUGCACAGGUGGCCUAGAAUAAAUGAAUGAAGCAUUUAUAUUGCACUUUGUGUAUUGCUGUACACCCAAAGCACUUUACAAUCAUCUGGGGGGUCUCUCCUCAACCACCACCAGUAUGCAGCAUCCACUUGGAUUUUGCGACAGCAGCCACAGGACAACGGUACCAGUGUGCUCACUGCACACCAGCUACAGGUGGAGAGGAGAGAGAGAGAGAGUCAGGGCCAAUCAAGUGGUUGGGGAUUAUUAUGAGGCCAUGAUAGACAAGGGCCAGUGGCGGCAAUUUGGCCAGGACACCCCUACUCUUUACGAGAAGAGCCAUGUGAUUUUAAAUGACCGCAGAGAGUCAGGACCUUGGUUUAAC
rnacentral:lncRNA from 1 species